GAGGGUGGGGCGUGGAAGGAGCGUCCGGAAGACGGACUGAGGCUGGAGAGCUGGCGCGGGUCUGAGGUACACAGGUCAACCCUAGAGCGAGAACCCUCGUGUGCUGGACUGAGCUGGAGCAGCAGGGCGUCCUGCUCAGCAGCAGAUGGCUUGGACGAAGUGAGCCUCCUCGUCAAGUUCAAUCUUGAAACUUCAGCAGCACCACGGUGUCGUGCUGGUAACUCGGAGAUGGGCAGGAUAAGGUGUGUUUGUUUGAGGUGAAUGUGCUCACUUGUCUUGAGAGUCUUGAGUGGCUGGGCCCUGUCUAGGCUGUGGGCUGACAGACAGCUGUCGGGAAGGCUGUCUGGCGGGAGGGCAUUGGGGGCAGGCUUCCUGACAAGCGGAGGCACCCGCCAUGUGUCCAGAGCAGAAGUCAACCCCAGUGCCUUUCUGUGUGGACUCAUUCCCAGCUGUAGGUCACAGGGGCCUGCCCCGCCACCCCUUCCCCAGUGGUGACCUGGGAGGAGGGGAGAUUAAUUCAGAGCAGCAGAUAACCCGGAGGGGAAGAGCCCCCUGGAGGAAAUCUGUGACAUGUUGUGCUGUCUCUGCAUCCACAAAACACCAGGCCCAGAGGCCCUGACUUCUGCCACACAGCACUGGCCUGGCCUCGGGCCCCAGCUCCUCUUCUCUGGUGGCCAAGGGUAAAUGAGACCCACUGGGGUGGCUAAGGCCAAAGGGGCUGGGGGCACCCAGCUUCAGUGCUGUAGGCUGGAGCCAGGCUCUGCUAGCCCUGAGGUCUCCAUAGGCCUGGGUCUCCCAGCCUUGGGCCACCUGCAGUGAGAGCUUCCCAGGCAGCACACACCAGCUGGGCAGCACAGGUGUCCCUCAUCUGGGCCACUCAAGAACCCUCCCUGCUCCCGCUUCGCUCUGCCCUUCCUGGGCCCAAUGGCUGCAGCACCUGUGUCAGGGAGCCUCGAGGGGCCAGAAGGAUGCUGAAAACCCCAGCAAAGCUCUAGUGUGUGGCCUCCCGGGGUGGGGGCUGAGUCCUCCUGCCCCCAGUUUUGGAGCAGCAGCUGCACACAGGGGUCCCUCACAUGCUCCUCCAGGACACGGCAGGGCCUGAGGUCCCCAGGUGCUGCCCAAGGGAUGCAAGCAUGGCAGGAGAAGGGUCCCAGAGGCUUGGAGCCCAUCCGGAAGCUGACAGUCUCAUGACAGGAGGGCACUGGAUGGUGAGGCCAUGUGGGGGACCACCCCUGGUCCAACAGCGGGUGGGGAGCCGGAGCGGGGAGCAGAGAAGUGAACGCAGAGGAAGGGACGAGAACACAAUCCCCACGCCCAGCAUGGCCCAGAGACCGGAGCAAACCCUUGUCAUCAAGGGCUUUCCUCCUGUCUGUUUUUGUUUUUUGAGACAGAGUCUUGCUGUGUCACCCAGGCUGGAGGGCAGUGGUGCAAUCUUGGCUCACCACAACCUCCGCUUCCUAGGCUCAGGUGAUUUUUGUGCCUCAACCACCCAAGUAGCUGGGAUUAUAAGUGUGCACCACCACGCCCAGCUAUAUUUUUGUAUUUUUAGUAGAGAUGGGGGUUUCUCCAUGUUGGCCAUGCUGGUCUCGAACUCCUGGCCUCAAGUGAUCCUCCCGCCUUGGCCUCCCAAAGUGCUGGGAUUGCAGGCAUGAGCAACCACACCUGGACUUUUUUUUUUUUUUUGAUAUAGGGUCUCAUUUUGUCAUCCAGGCUGGAGUGCAGUGGCACAAUCUUGGCUCACUGCAGCCUCCACCUCCCUGGGCUCAGGUGAUCCUCCCACCUCAGCCCCACAGGCCCAUGCUACCAUGCCCCGCUAUUUUUUUAUGUAUAGAGACAAGGUCAUGUUGCCCAGGCUGGUCUCAAACUCCUGGGCUCCAGAGAUCUGUCUGCCUGGGCCUCCCAAAGUCCUGGGAUUCCAGGCGUGAGCCACUGUACUGGCCUUUCUCCUGUCCUGGGAUGCUGCUGCCAGUUUUCCUGGAAUCUCCAAGACCCCUUGCAGACCGUGGUAACACUUCCAGGGGAGACCUAGAAGCUUGGAGCUGAAGCCCGGGCAGCCGAGACUGAUGGGGAACCCUGGACACUGGAGUUUGGGAGCGCUUGGUCAGCUGGCACCUGCCAUGUGGUGAACAUGGAGCCGUGGAGAUUCCACAGCUGGGUUUCUCUGCCUGAGAGCAGGCCCAGUCACCAGGCACCUCCCACAGGGCCCCCUGAGACCACACUGCCUGCAGCAGCCUCCCUAGACCCCCAGGCAGCACUCAGGA